rnacentral:lncRNA from 1 species
CCAGCUCCUUUGACCCCUGGAGGUCAGGUAAAUAUGAAGGAGUGGGGUCUGGAUUUCUCCACAAAGGUUAAAGUCAGCAUUUCCUCACCCUCAUGUGCUUCGAAUCAAUGAUUAGCCACUGAUAAGCAGAUGGUGAUGGGCUGUCUCUUUAAAGUGUCCAUGGGUCAACAGAGCGACAGUCCCUACCCCCAGGCCAAGCUCUUGAGACAGAAUAGAAAUGCAGGCAGAAGAGAGUUGAGACCCCUUGAGUCUCAAGGCACUGGCUUCUUGGGGCUCAGAGUAGUGCACACCCAGCAUAGCAUCCCAGCAUCUUAGUGAGCCGAGGUGCAGAAGGAGGGGCUGGGGGUUGGGGGCGCCCUUCCCCGCCCGCUGGGGAAACGCCUUAUUUGGGCAGCUGGGGCUGCCAUUUUCCGGCACCUCCUCUUCUGUAAGGAAAGGAGAAAGACAGCGGAGACAUUUGUCAAGGCGCGGUACUGUCCCAGCUGCAGGGAAUCCCGCGCAGCAUAGAUAUUUCAGCUGUGCCGACUUUACUGACCCAGCGCUGUCCUCGAAGGUGGUAGAUGAGAUGGACCGACAUCCGAGACUGGCCUGUCCACAGGCACCUCCAGUCCGCUUGGUGACACAGAUGCAUAGACAGGACAUUGCUGGUGGGCGCUGAAGAACAAAUGACCUAGAAAAUGUUUGGCAGCUGUCUUUGUUCGCUGGUGUUUAAUGGGAAAUAGCUAAGCAAACGGACACACUGGCCCUGUCGGAGGUAUGGCGCACAUCAUCGCCCAUUGCUCUGCUACCAACUAACUAAAUACAUGGAA